rnacentral:rRNA from 1 species
ACGGAAGGCAGCAGUGGGGAAUAUUGGGCAAUGGGCGAAAGCCUGACCCAGCGACGUCGCGUGAGGGAAGAAGGUCUUCGGAUUGUAAACCUUUGUUGAUGGGGACGAAGAAAAUGACGGUACCCAUCGAGGAAGCCACGGCUAACUACGUGCCAGCAGCCGCGGUAAUACGUAGGUGGCGAGCGUUAUCCGGAUUUACUGGGUGUAAAGGGUGUGUAGGCGGGAUAGCAAGUCAGAUGUGAAAAUUAUGGGCUCAACUCAUAAACUGCGUCUGAAACUGUUGUUCUUGAGUGUCGGAGAGGUAAGUAGAAUUCCCGGUGUAGCGGUGAAAUGCGUAGAUAUCGGGAGGAAUACCGGUGGCGAAGGCGGCUUACUGGACGACAACUGACGCUGAGACACGAAAGUGUGGGGAGCAAACAGGAUUAGAUACCCUGGUA